UGCUCUUAUGAAGUUAGCGGCGGACGGGUGAGUAACACGUGGGUAACCUGCCCAUAAGACUGGGAUAACUCCGGGAAACCGGGGCUAAUACCGGAUAACAUUUUGAACUGCAUGGUUCGAAAUUGAAAGGCGGCUUCGGCUGUCACUUAUGGAUGGACCCGCGUCGCAUUAGCUAGUUGGUGAGGUAACGGCUCACCAAGGCAACGAUGCGUAGCCGACCUGAGAGGGUGAUCGGCCACACUGGGACUGAGACACGGCCCAGACUCCUACGGGAGGCAGCAGUAGGGAAUCUUCCGCAAUGGACGAAAGUCUGACGGAGCAACGCCGCGUGAGUGAUGAAGGCUUUCGGGUCGUAAAACUCUGUUGUUAGGGAAGAACAAGUGCUAGUUGAAUAAGCUGGCACCUUGACGGUACCUAACCAGAAAGCCACGGCUAACUACGUGCCAGCAGCCGCGGUAAUACGUAGGUGGCAAGCGUUAUC
rnacentral:rRNA from 1 species